rnacentral:rRNA from 1 species
GAGUUUGAUCCUGGCUCAGAACGAACGCUGGCGGCGUGCUUAACACAUGCAAGUCGAACGUGAUCCGGAGCUUGCUCCGGUGAAAGUGGCGCACGGGUGAGUAUCGCGUGGAUAACCUGCCCUGGUAUCUGGGAUAACAUCUCGAAAGGGGUGCUAAUACCGGAUAAGCCCACGGACUCCUCGGAGUCUGCGGGAAAAGGUGGCCUCUAUUUAUAAGCUUCCGUAUCAUGAUGGGUCCGCGUACCAUUAGCUAGUUGGUAGGGUAAUGGCCUACCAAGGCGACGAUGGUUAGCUGGUCUGAGAGGAUGAUCAGCCACACUGGAACUGACACACGGUCCAGACUCCUACGGGAGGCAGCAGUGAGGAAUUUUGCGCAAUGGGGGCAACCCUGACGCAGCAACGCCGCGUGAGUGAUGAAGGCCUUUGGGUCGUAAAACUCUGUCAGCAGGAAAGAAGUUACAUGUGGUUAAUACCCAUGUGUAUUGACGGUACCUGCAAAGGAAGCACCGGCUAACUCCGUGCCAGCAGCCGCGGUAAUAC